rnacentral:piRNA from 1 species
UGAAGAAUGAGGAACUCGACGCCA